AACGAACGCUGGCGGCAUGCCUAACACAUGCAAGUCGAACGAGACCUUCGGGUCUAGUGGCGCACGGGUGCGUAACGCGUGGGAACCUGCCCUUAGGUUCGGAAUAACUCCCCGAAAGGGGUGCUAAUACCGGAUAAUGUCUUCGGACCAAAGAUUUAUCGCCUUUGGAUGGGCCCGCGUUGGAUUAGCUAGUUGGUAGGGUAAAAGCCUACCAAGGCGACGAUCCAUAGCUGGUCUGAGAGGAUGAUUAGCCACACUGGGAAUGAGACACGGCCCAGACUCGUACGGGAGGCAGCAGUGGGGAAUAUUGGACACGGGGCGAAAGCCUGAUCAAGCAAUGCCGCGUGAGUGAUGAAGGCCUUAGGGUUGUAAAGCUCUUUUACCCGGGAUGAUAAUGACAGUACCGGGAGAAUAAGCUCCGGCUAACUACGUG
rnacentral:rRNA from 1 species